CAGUAGCCGCGGGAAUACGGAGGGAGCUAGCGUUGUUCGGAAUUACUGGGCGUAAAGCGCGCGUAGGCGGUUACUCAAGUCAGAGGUGAAAGCCCGGGGCUCAACCCCGGAACUGCCUUUGAAACUAGGUGACUAGAAUCUUGGAGAGGUCAGUGGAAUUCCGAGUGUAGAGGUGAAAUUCGUAGAUAUUCGGAAGAACACCAGUGGCGAAGGCGACUGACUGGACAAGUAUUGACGCUGAGGUGCGAAAGCGUGGGGAACAAACAGGAUUAGAUACCCCAGUAGUCCCUGUCUCUUAUAC
rnacentral:rRNA from 1 species